rnacentral:sRNA from 1 species
AAAUUUUUUUUGUUUUGUUUUGUUUUGUUUUUGAGAUGGAGUCUCACUCUGUCGCCAGGCUGGAGUACAGUGGCACAAUCUUGGCUCACUGCAACCUCUGCCUCCCAGGUUCAAGUGAUUCUCCUGCCUCAGCCUCCUGAGUAGCUGGGAUUACAGGCGUAUGCCACCAUGCCUAGCUAAUUUUUGUAUUUUUAGUAGAGACAAGGUUUCACCAUGUUGGCCAGGAUGGUCUUGAUCUCUUGACCUCAUGAUCCCCCCACCUUGGCUUCCCAAAGUGCUGGGAUUACAGGCGUGAGCCACUGAGCCCGACCUAGUUAAAUAAAAUUUGAUAAACACGAUGGACUUGGUUGUGUGUUUUCUGGUUUUUCUGAGAUCUAGUUUGAAAAUUCUGACAACUAGCAAAGUAUAUGGAGGCUUCUUCAGGAAAUAGUAAACAUAUUUCUUUUUACAGCCUAAUAGUCCCAGUGAAUAUUGUUUUUAUGUGGAUAGUGAUAUGGUCAAUGAAUUCAAGUUGGAAUUGGUAGAAAAACUUUUUGCUGAAGACACAGAAGCAAAGAACCCAUUUUCUACUCAGGACACAGAUUUAGACUUGGAGAUGUUAGCUCCCUAUAUCCCAAUGGAUGAUGACUUCCAGUUACGUUCCUUCGAUCAGUUGUCACCAUUAGAAAGCAGUUCCGCAAGCCCUGAAAGCGCAAGUCCUCAAAGCACAGUUACAGUA